AGAAGUUGGAGCCAUCCCAGGCUGUGAGGUAGCAGGGAGGGGGCUGGCGCAGGCGCUUGUGGGGAAUUUGCACUGUGAAGAGUCGCAGGCCAGCAGGCUGGCCUGGUAGCGGUAAGGUGUGCUGGAAAAGGUGGGUCCAUUUUCUUGCCAGUGCAGCUGUGUCACCAGCUGAUCCUUCUGCCACACAGAGGCCUUAAGGU
rnacentral:lncRNA from 1 species